rnacentral:rRNA from 1 species
UCGGCUUAGAGUUUGAUCCUGGCUCAGGAUGAACGCUAGCGGCAGGCCUAAUACAUGCAAGUCGAGGGGUAAGGACUACUUCGGUGGUUACACGACCGGCGCACGGGUGCGUAACGCGUAUGCAACCUACCUUUAACAGGGGGAUAGCCCGAAGAAAUUCGGAUUAACACCCCAUAAUAUUGUUUUAUGGCAUCAUAGGACAAUUAAAACUCCGGUGGUUAAAGAUGGGCAUGCGUGACAUUAGCUGGUUGGUGAGGUAACGGCUCACCAAGGCGACGAUGUCUAGGGGUUCUGAGAGGAUGAUCCCCCACACUGGUACUGAGACACGGACCAGACUCCUACGGGAGGCAGCAGUAAGGAAUAUUGGUCAAUGGGCGCAAGCCUGAACCAGCCAUGCCGCGUGCAGGAAGACGCCCUUCGGGUUGUAAACUGCUGUCAGGGUCUAGCAACACAAUGAGCAGACCCAAAGGAAGGGCCGGCUAAGU